CAGAGCUCGACGAAUGCUAGUUACUUCCGGCGUUUAGACGGGCGAGCGGAGCUUUAAACUUAUUUAUACUGCCAAAUAAACUUUUAUACCGCGUUGUACCUCAUUCUUAAAGUGUCUCGCUCGUAUGUUUUGUUCGCAUGCGGCUGUAGGUUGUCUCCCGGACGUGCCUGCGCGUUUAGAAAGCUAAAGCUGUGUAAAUGUUAUCAUGAGAAGUAUUUAAAUGGACGUGCAGUGUUAAAGCUGUUAUUAUGGCUUCUCGUCACAACACUACAUCAGAAGACGAUUUCCCGACCCUGAAGCCGAGACGCAUCCAAAACCAAAACGUUGUCCACCGGUUAGAAAGACGCCGGAUCUGCUCUGGUCCGGUCGGGGGACAUUGGUAUCGUGUGCGUUGCUUCCACCAGAACCUGUUCCCCAACUUCACAGUGGUGAAUGUAGAGAAGCCUCCCUGCUUCCUCCGUAAGUUCUCCCCUGACGGGCGAUGCUUUAUUGCGUUUUCUUCUGACCAGACGUCUUUGGAAAUCUAUGAGUAUCAAGGAUGUCAAGCUGCUGAAGAUCUGCUUCAGGGUCAGGAGGGAGAAACGCUGGCCAAUGGGAACGACCAGCGCUCCCUGAACAUCAGAGGCAGACUCUUUGAACGCUUCUUUUCUCUUCUCCACGUCACCAACGUGGCCUCCAACGGAGAGCACUUGAAUAGAGAGUGCAGUCUUUUCACUGACGACUGCCGUUAUGUGAUCGUCGGCUCAGCUGCUUAUUUGCCCGAAGAACCGCAUCCACACUUUUUUGAGGUGUACAGAAACAACGAAUCUGUGACACCUAACCCACGCUCUCCUCUUGAGGACUACUCGCUGCACAUCAUAGACCUGCACACGGGCCGGCUGUGUGAUACACGCACCUUUAAGUGUGACAAAAUCAUUCUGUCACACAAUCAGGGACUGUACCUAUACAGAAAUAUACUGGCAGUGCUUUCUGUGCAGCAACAGACCAUACAUGUCUUUCAGGUGACACCGGAAGGAACCUUCCUUGACGUGCGCACCAUUGGUCGUUUUUGUUACGAGGAUGACCUGCUGACACUGUCUGCGGUUUACUCUGAGGCCCAAGCUGAAGGCCAGCCCGGUUUCUCCCGCCUGUAUAAGGAGAAAACCAUCAACUCCUUAAAGCACCGUCUGCUGGUGUACCUGUGGAGGAGAGCGGAGCAGGACGGCAGCGCCACUGCCAAACGCAGAUUCUUUCAGUUCUUUGAUCAGCUCAGGCAGCUGCGCAUGUGGAAGAUGCAGCUCCUGGAUGAACAUCACCUGUUCAUAAAGUACACCAGCGAAGACGUGGUCACGCUGAGGGUCACCGACCCCUCGCAGCCCUCUUUCUUCGUGGUUUACAAUAUGCUAACCACCGAAGUGAUUGCGGUUUUUGAGAAUACUUCAGACAAACUUCUGGAGCUUUUCGAAAACUUCUGCGACCUCUUCAGGAACGCCACGCUCCACAGCGAGGCUGUGCAGUUCCCCUGCUCCGCUUCCAGCAACAACUUUGCACGUCAGGUGCAGCGCAGAUUUAAAGACACCAUUGUCAAUGCCAAAUACGGAGGGCACACAGAGGCAGUCAGGAGGCUCCUUGGGCAGCUGCCCAUCAGUGCUCAGUCCUACAGCAGCAGCCCAUAUCUGGAUCUCUCCCUCUUCAGCUAUGAUGAUAAGUGGGUGUCUGUCAUGGAACGGCCAAAGACCUGUGGAGAUCAUCCCAUACGGUUCUACGCGAGGGACUCGGGGUUGCUGAAAUUUAAGAUCCAGGCAGGCCUGCUGGGCAGACCCAUUAACCAUGCGGUCAGGAGACUAGUCGCGUUCACCUUCCAUCCCUUCGAGCCGUUCGCCAUCUCCGUGCAGCGCACCAACGCCGAAUACGUCGUCAACUUUCACAUGCGCCACGGAUGCGUAUGAUAACGCGCGUGGAAGCCUUCUCUUGAGGAUGAGAUCUGGGAGUGUAUCCUCGGACACGGAACAGUGUGAGGUGAAAAAAAAAACAUGGACUAUAAUGAGCUUGAUGUGAACAAGACCAGAUGUGAGCAAGCCAUAUGUCUGGAUAAUCUGCAUACAAUGUUCAGCUGUUUGAAGACGUUUUGUGUCCAGCUUGAUUCUAAUUUAACCGAAUUGUAUAAGGCUUCAGGAGUUGGCUUUGUCUAAAAUGAGAUCUUCAAUCCUCCCAGGAUCCUUUUAACUGCUGGAUUAAUGUGUGGUAUUAAUAUUAUGGCCGAAGAGGGAUGCAUGUUGAUGGUUUCAGCAGUAAAGUCAGCACAAAUACGGAUGAUUGAAGGAUGUGGAAAGACGAACCCCUGCGAGGAACCCCCUGCCAUGCAGCCAAAACAUGCUUUCCACCGACAACCAAAUUAGCUUCAAGGGCAGAUGCAGUGCAACUGUUUUUUGAGAAACCCACGGCUCCACUAAAACGAGCUUACUGGCCACACACACUGAUGGAAAGCAACACUAAGAUAUCCGCUCUGCAGUGAGAUGAGGGGCUGCCCGCUGUGCUGAAGAUACAUCCAUGAGGCCUAGCGCUCUGUGCUGGUCAGCAGAGCCAAGACCUUCACCAUUCUCUUCGAUCUGCAGUAUGACAGGAAAAAGCACCCGAAGAGCCCACCGUCAUGGCCCGCAGAGAGCUGUCGUCUCCCGGCUUGUAAUCUUCAUCUUUUGACCCCACUUUGUGGAGGUCCAUCUUCUCCAUUACCAGCAGAUGUUCUACCAGCCUUGUUGGAGUCAUCCAGGACACACCCAUCACCCUCCCGAGAAUGGCAUUGGGGUUUUAAAAAGGUUCGUCUGGUUGGUUAAAAGACACGAGCUCUGUUAAAUUGUCCCUAUGGGUGCCCUAAAAUGGAUUCUUGACAUUGAUGAAUUGGCUCGAGUGAGAGACAUGAUGAUAUUUCACCCUUAACAUUAGGCAGAGUGCAACUCAAUGCCCUUUGGCGCGCAAAAACAGAAGCAAAAAAAUACCCAAACACGCCAUCAUAUGAGGCUUAUUCUGUCAUUUUGUUUCCACACGGGAAUUGACGCUCCCCAUUGGUUGACACAUAGCAUUAAAAUACUGUGUGUUGAAUCAGAUGCCUGUGGAAUUCCUCAUAUAUAGUUGAAUGCCACUGGUAAACACAGAGUAUAUAAAUAAACUGACUAUUCCUCAUGGCAUUUCUUUUGAAUCCAUGCUUUUUUAUACCGGCCAUAUAUUAUGGACUCAUAAGAAUCAUUUAACAAUGAUUUAUUUUCUCUUUCGAUGAUAAUUAGGGAUAGUUAUGUGUCCCAUUGAAAUAAAAAAGCUGCAUUUAUUUGAUUAUAUACACGGUAAACACAUUCAUAUUUUGAAAGCGAUUUUGACAGCACUUGAUAUGAAUAAUAUUAUCAAUAUAAACAAUAUAUAUAAUAUAUUUUCAUAUAUUGAUAAUAUUUGAUUGUUUACUCAAAUUGAAUAAUCUACACUUUGUUAUUUUGAUAUUACAAUGUCAACACUGUAACCAUGAAAUUGUAUUAUUUGUAAUGAUUUGCUUAACUUUUUUUUUUUUUUAAAGGCACCUUGCAAUUUUUCGACAUUUGGUCUACCUUAUUACCACCAAACUCCAAGCAUACUUGAGACUUCUUAAUUCGAGGCAACCAGUUCAUGGACAGACUAAUGUGUAGUUAAUUGUUGUUAACUGGCUUGUAGCGAACACUCUUCAACCAGAGCGAUUUACACUACAUUGACUAUAGGACAUACGUAACUCAAAGCCAGAACAGUGAGCAAAAAUCAAUUCAGUAACUCUCCAGUUCCUUGAGAAAAAGCCAACAGCCCUUGUUUGUCUGACCAUUAAGUGACCACCACUCCGAUCCCACCCUGCUAUGAUUUAAUUCACUCACUGUUUGCUCCGAAAGCACAAAAUCUAGAAUGGCGUACCCUCCAAGGUGUAAUUUAUUCACACUUUGCUCUUUCAGUCACUUCGCAGACGGCGACUCGGCUGCAGGUUUGUGGCAGUGGGACUGCUUUCAGCUUUAACGUGUAUUCUUUUGUUCGGCGGGCGUGAGGAACAGGGAAAAAUGUAAUAAAGAGGGAGUGUAUCCUUUUCGCCCACGCCGAGGCCACACACACGCUGUUACUCGGAGAGGGUGAGAAACAGACAGAGCGAAAUGGAUCUUACAAAGGUUGAAUCACAUCGCUUAACUUUCUGACUCAGUAGCAUACUUAUGCAGCACGCAGUCUCUCUUUCACGUUCAUAAGCAACAAGUAACAAAUAAAUAAUUCUGUUAAUAAAUAUGCUUAAUAAAAACUAAUGUAAAAAAUGACACUCAU